UGCAAGUCGAACGGUAAGGGCCUUCGGGGGUACACGAGUGGCGCACGGGUGAGAGCCUAUGCAACCUGCCCUGUACAGGGGGAUAGCCCGGAGAAAGACGGAUUAAUACCCCAUAGUUUUUAUGAGUCGCAUGGCUUAUAAAAUAAAGUUUCGGCGGUACAGGAUGGGCAUGCGGGGCAUUAGCUAGUUGGUAAGGUAACGGCUUACCAAGGCGACGAUGCCUAGGGGUUCUGAGAGGAUGAUCCCCCACACUGGGACUGAGACACGGCCCAUACUCCUACGGGAGGCAGCAGUGAGGAAUAUUGGUCAAUGGGCGAGAGCCUGAACCAGCCAUCCCGCGUGCAGGAUGACGGCCCUACGGGUUGUAAACUGCUUUUAUGUACCAAGAAUGUGUUCCACGUGUAGGGUUUUGACGGUAGUACAUGAAUAAGCAUCGGCUAACUCCGUGCCAGCAGCCGCGGUAAUACGGAGGAUGCAAGCGUUAUCCGGAUUCAUUGGGUUUAAAGGGUGCGUAGGCGGCUAUAUAAGUCAGUGGUGAAAUGCUGCAGCUCAACUGUAGAACUGCCAUUGAAACUGUAUAGCUUGAGUGCGCCUGAGGUAGGCGGAAUGAGUAGUGUAGCGUUGAAAUGCUUACAUAUUACUCAGAACACCGAUUGCCAAGGCUGCUUACUAACAGCGUAACUGACCGCUGAUGCACGAAAGCGCGGGGAGCGAACAGGAUUAGAUACCCUGGUCAGUCCACGCCUUACACGAUGAUAACUCGCUGUUGGCGAUACACAGUCAGCGGCUUAGCCCAACGCAUUAAGUUAUCCCCCUGGGGGAGUACCAUCCGCAAGGUUGAAACUCCACAGGGAUUGAUGGGGGGCCCCGCACAA
rnacentral:rRNA from 1 species